GACGAACGCUGGCGGCAUGCUUAACACAUGCAAGUGGAGCGACGAACCUUUUGGGGCAAAGCCGCGAACGGGUGAGUAACACGUGGGUAAUGUACCCCGAAGACCGGGACAACCCGAGGAAACUCGGGCUAAUACCGGAUGUGCUCGCUUUUCAUCAGAGAAGUGAGUAAAGGUAGCUUCGGCUAUCCGCUUUGGGAGCGGCCCGCGGUCCAUUAGCUUGUUGGUGAGGUAACGGCUCACCAAGGCGACGAUGGGAUAGCUGGUCUGAGAGGACGAUCAGCCACACUGGGACUGAGACACGGCCCAGACUCCUACGGGUGGCAG
rnacentral:rRNA from 1 species